UUGAAAGGGAAACGAUUGAAGUCAGUCGUACCUAUGGGUAAUCAGCCUUUUGGGUGUGAUUUUGUGGAGCGUGAGGAGUUAAACGCCUUCAUGCCUGCAUAUUCGUGCACUUUGGGUGUACUUGCCCGUAUGGUUGGUUAACAUCAAUUUUGGGGGUCAUAAAAUGACUGGAGGAAUGUAGCUUCGAUCUUGUAUUGAAGUGUUAUAGCCUUCGGUAGAUGUGAUGAUCGAGAUUGAGGAUUGCAACGGAUACCUUCGGGGCUACCUGUCUGAUCUCUGAUCGUUGCUCUGGUGCCGAAAGCUUGCUUACGGUUAUCAAAGUCGAUGGUCAAUAGGUUAGAACGGGUUAAAUUCGUUAAGGAUGUUGACGUA
rnacentral:rRNA from 1 species